rnacentral:rRNA from 1 species
AACGAACGCUGGCGGAAUGCCUAACACAUGCAAGUCGAACGAAGGCUUCGGCCUUAGUGGCGCACGGGUGCGUAACACGUGGGAAUCUGCCCUUUGCUUCGGAACAACAGUUGGAAACGACUGCUAAUACCGUAUACGCCCUACGGGGGAAAGAUUUAUCGGAUUUGGAUGAGCCCGCGUUGGAUUAGCUAGUUGGUGGGGUAAUGGCCUACCAAGGCGACGAUCCAUAGCUGGUCUGAGAGGAUGAUCAGCCACACUGGGACUGAGACACGGCCCAGACUCCUACGGGAGGCAGCAGUGGGGAAUAUUGGACAAUGGGCGCAAGCCUGAUCCAGCCAUGCCGCGUGAGUGAUGAAGGCCUUAGGGUUGUAAAGCUCUUUCACCGAUGAAGAUAAUGACGGUAGUCGGAGAAGAAGCCCCGGCUAACUUCGUGCCAGCCGCCGCCGUAAGAC